UAGCAUGUGCGCGAGUCAUUGGGACAAUCACUAAACCCAAAGGCGAAAUGAAAGUGAAGGCGCGCCUCGCGCGCGCCUAGGGAGGAUGGGCGGGACUCCGUCGCCGCCCCGCACUCCCGGGGCGUCUCGUUCUCAUCGCGAGAAGAGGCGCACCCAGAGCGUACACGCUGGGACCCGAAAGAUGGUGAACUAUGCCUGGUCAGGACGAAGUCAGGGGAAACCCUGAUGGAGGUCCGUAGCGAUUCUGACGUGCAAAUCGAUCGUCGGAACUGGGUAUAGGGGCGAAAGACUAAUCGAACCAUCUAGUAGCUGGUUCCCUCCGAAGUUUCCCUCAGGAUAGCUGGCGCUCGCUGUUGCGAGUCUCAUCCGGUAAAGCGAAUGAUUAGAGGCAUUGGGGUCGAAACGGCCUCAACCUAUUCUCAAACUUUAAAUGGGUGAGAUCUCCGGCUUGCUUGAACUGCGCAAGCAGCCUGAAGCCGCGAGAUCGGAUCAGAGUGCCAAGUGGGCCAUUUUUGGUAAGCAGAACUGGCGCUGUGGGAUGAACCAAACGCGGAGUUAAAGCGCCUAAAUCGACGCUUAUGGGAUACCAUGAAAGGCGUUGGUAACUUAAGACAGCAGGAC
rnacentral:rRNA from 1 species